AUGACUUAUUAAUGUUUUUGAUAUAGGGUUUUACAUAUGUGGCUCCAUCUGUUUUAGAAGAGUUACCUCGACCUUUAAUUCUUAGAGCAAGAUCACCAAGGAAAUUUUCUCAUAGCCCACGCUGGCCUUUCAGUCCUUCCAAAUCAGUGAAUCAAUUUUCUUUUGAGGAAAAUUCAAAAAAUGGGACUUCAUCACCAGUUGGACCAUCACAGUUGGACAUCUUAACUCCUUUUAAUAUAUCUAGACUGAGUGAAGAACAAAUGGAUACCAGUAGCAUUCAUACCACUAGUAGCUGUCUUCCACAGGAACCAACUUCUUUUCUAGGAUCUCAUCCUCCUCGUUCACCUGCAAUUCCAGCACGUAGUAUACAUGAACAGAAGAUUUAAAAAUGGAAAAUUACUUAGAAGAAAUAGAAGAAAUUAUAGAAGGAAAGUUGCAAUAAUUGGCAAGUCCAUCCCACUGCAAGGGAGGUGAAAAGAAGAAAAAUGGCUACAUAAAUAAUAUGAAGGAGUAUACUGCACAUAAUACCAGUGGCCUUUUCUGUAUCUAUUAUUAACACUACAUGAUCAAUGA